CCUGGUUGAUCCUUCCAGUAGUCAUAUUCUUGUCUCAAAGAUUAAGCCAUUCAUGUGUACGAAAGAACAAAUUCAUAUUAUGAAACUGUGAAUGGCUUAUUAAAUCAGUAAUAGUUUGUUUGAUGGUAUCUAUUACUCAAAUAUUCAUAGUAAUUUAAGAGUUUAAACAUGUAGAAAACCCCAAAUUCUGGAAGGGAAGCGUUUAUUUGAUAAAAGGUCGACGCGAGCUCUGCCCAUUGCUGCGAUGAUUCCUGAUAACUCGACGGAUCGCACGAACAUCGUGCAAGUGAUGCAUUAUUCAAAUUUUUGCUGUAUUAACUUUCAAUGGUAGGAUAGUGGCCUACCAUGGUGGUGAUGAGUGAUAGAUAAUUAGGGUUCCAUUCUAGAGAGGGAGCCUGACAAACGCCUACCACAUCCAAGGAAGGCAGCAGGUGCGCAAAUUACCAAUCCUGACACUGAGAGGUAGUAACAAUAAAUAAUAAUAUCAGGCUUAAUGAGUCUGGUAAUUGAAAUGGGUAAAAUCUAAAUCCACUAAUGAGAAUCUAUUAAAGGGCAAGUCUAUUGCCAGCAACCGCAGUAGUUCCAGCUCCAAUAGUGUAUAUUUAUGUUAUUACAGUUAAAAAACUCAUAGUUGUACUUUGGGAUGGGCCGACCGGUCCUUGUUUAGUAUGCACCAGUCGUAUCAUCCCUUCUAUUAGCGAUGUGCUCCUAGACUUAACUGGCCUAGUCGUGCCUCUGAUGCUGUUACUUUGAAGAAAUUAGAGUGCUCAAAGUAAGCCUACGCUCUGUAUACAUUAGCAUGGGAUAAAACUAUAGGAUUUUGGUCCUAUUAAGUUGGCCUUACCAGCUCUGUGAUACCCUUAGAUGUUUUGGGCCACACACGCACUACACUGAUGUAUUCGACAAGUUUAUAGCCUUCGCCAACAAGCCCGGGUAAUCUUUGAAAUUUCAUCAUGAUGGGGAUAGAUCAUUAGAAUUGUUGGUCCUCAUUGAGGAAUUUGCAGUAAGCACGAGUCGGUAUCUCGCGUUGACUACAUCCUUGCCAUUUGUACACACCGCCCGUUACUCUUACCGAAUAAAUAAUUUAGUGAAAUGUUCUAAUCGCAGUGACGUGGGUAGUUUGCUACCUACGACGUCGCGAGAAGUCAAUUGAACCAUAUCAUUUAGAGAAAGAAGAAGUUGUCACAAGGUUUCCAUAGUUGAAUUUGUGGAAGUGUCACUG
rnacentral:rRNA from 1 species